rnacentral:lncRNA from 1 species
UCAAAGCUUUUGUUGUGCUAAUGUUGGAACUUGCUGCUACCUGAAGCAGUUAUCGUUUCAUAAACAAUGAUGCUGCCACUGCUCUGUGGAUAAACUGUCCUUUAUACUUUGCAGGGCCCACCAUGGGUGUUGACGGCUUCAUGAUGGUAAGAAGAGAACCCCCAGUCAUCCAGCUGGCGUGGCAGCCAAAGAGAAACACUUAAUCGGAUGGAGAUGGUGAGCUCCACCAUGUGAAGAUGUGCUGGCUUCCCCUUCACCUUCUGCCAUGAUUGUAAGUUUCCUGAGGCCUCCCAGCCAUGCCUCCUAUACAGCCUGCAAAACUUGUCAUACUGAAAUAAAGAGUGGAGGUGGUGGUGGCCCUCAUGGCUGUGAUGCACCCCUCGCUUCUGGAGACUACGAGACUUGUCUGAAGUCACUUGCUGGUCUUCCUUGGCUGCCAAGACUUCUCCCCCUCAGACCACAGAUGAGAACAUUGAGGCCUAGGGCAUUUCAAUAGCUUGCCAAAGGGCUCAUCAUUCUCGGGUAACAGGAUGAGGCCAGACACCAAGGAUCCCUGGAUCCAUGCCCUACUCUCCACACUUGUCUUGGGUCUAUGAAGCCCCCAGUCCCAAGAUGCUGAGAACCUGAGAUAUCACUCAUCUCAUCUUCCUGAAUUUUAUGAACUAAGAAGCGAAAGCUCACCCAAAGCCAUUUAUAGAGUCUAUGGAAAAAGAAGGACUAGACCCUGGAUUCCGUGAUUUACAGGUUUUUCUUCUCCUAAUUUUCAAUCCACUCCAAAACAUGCAGAGAGAUGACCUUAGCAAAGAUGUUUAUUAGUAGAUAUAAAGGGUGGCUGGUGCCAUUCUUCCAAAAGGAAAGCUGUCAUCUUUACUCACUCAGUCCUCAGCAAACUAUCUGAGCACUAUUUUUGUGCCUCAUCUGGGAGCUGGGGAGUCAGUGAUGGGCAAGAUAUGGUCUUUACUUGCAAAAUUCCCAUAGCACAUUGGAGAAGAAAAAACAGCAAUCAGGUAUGUGCGCUACAGGGGGGUGCAUGCUGCAACCACCAGCAUCAACAACAACAUGCAUUGAAUGCUUCAUGUAUAUCAAGUGCUCUCUCUCCUAAGAGAUAUGAAUGCAUUAACCCCAUUUACUCCUCAAGACUAGAAACAAACACUUUAUAAUUUGCUACGGACUGAAAAUUUGUGUCCCCCUAAAAUGUAUAUGUGGAAGUCUUAAUCCCCAAUGUGAUGAUAUUUGGAGGCGGGGCCUUGGGACAUAAUUGGGGUAGGGUGAGGUCAUGAGGGUGAAAACCCCAUACUGGGAUUGGUGCCCUUAGAAAGGUAUAAAGGGACUGGAGCAUGCAGUUUCUCUCUCUCUCUCUCUCUGUUUCUCUCUCUCUCUCUCUCCCUCCGCCGUAUGAGCACGCAGCAAGAAAGCGGCUGUGUGGCAACCAGGAAGACAGCCUUUAUCAGAAUCCAGCCAUAUUGGUGCCCUGAUCUCAGACUUUCCAGCCUCCAGAACUGUAAGAAAUAGAUGUUCACUGUUUAAGUGCCCCAGUCUAUGGUAUUCUAUGAUAGCAGCCCAAACUGACUAAGACAUCAUUUCUUUUAUCAGAUGAGGAAACCAAUACAUAGAAAGACUUUUAAAUUUUCCCUAAACAAUGGAAGUACAUGCUAAGUGCAAUAGGGGUAUGUAGAAAAGAGUGUUCAGAUUUUAGGGAGAUUUCCAGAAAAGGCCUCUUCAUGCUGGAGAUGGCUUUUUUUAAAUAAUGGAAGGGAGUUCCCAAGGCAAUGGUUGAGCAGUGGAGUGGGAGCCCAGGUAAGAGUAUGCAGGUGGUAGAAACAAAAUAUUCUAAGACAGACGGGCACAAAACAGCAUGGCUUAUUUGGGGAACUACAAGUACCUCUAUGUUGCUGAUGCCUGAUGUUCUAGAGGACACAUUUCAAGGCAGGAACAAGCUGAGGGCAUAUCUCAACCUCCCCUUCCUCAGGGGCACUCAUCCUUCAUCCCUUUAGCAGUUUUACUCAGCAUUUGUUCUAGGAUGCCAGGCUGUGAGGUAAGACAGGUAAGUGAGACUCAGCCUCUACCCUCAGAGUUCACAAUCUAAUGGGAAAACUAAAUUAUCAUAAAGAUAGCAUUACAAAUGCAGUGCUUGACAUAUGCCUGGAGCACUAUGAGACUGUAGGUGAGAAGCAACGAAAAGAGGACAAUCCGGAGAAGGUAGCAGCUGUGCUGUCUCUUAAAGUCUGACCAGGUAGUCCAGGUGUUCCCUGUGUUUGAGGUCAAGGGGCAGCAGGAGAAGAUGCAACAGAAAAGCACACAGCACGAGCAAAGCCACAUAGCUGAAAAACAGCUAUCACCUGCAACAGCUUCUGCUGCUACAAUACCUGUACUCCUCUUAGAUUUUAUUCCAGUAUCAGCCAACAACGUGAUCUGACAGGACAGUCCCAGCCCUAGGAAAUGAACUAUGAUUCGUGCAGACCGAUCGAAGUCAUACCAUACAGCGAUGGAUUUGGGCAUGUGGGCCAGUUGGGAUCAAGGGAAAGGAAGCAUUUCCAUUUUGAUCAAUGGGGGGAUUCUGGGAAAGUCUUCUGCCCGUAAAAAGAAACAAGCCAGGAAAAACGUCCCCUUCCUCCCUGUAGACAUGGCUAUGAACGGCAGGAUGCCUGAAACUGUCCAGGCUUGUUAUGAUGGAGAGACACACUGCACAGGGUGGGGGAAAGGGGAAAUAUACCCUAAGAAUGGUAGACCAGAAAGAUGUAAAGCAUCUGUAUCCUUGUUGAAAUUAUAGUGCCUCCCAAUUAACAUACCUAGAACUGUUUACCUCUGGACAUUUCAUUAUGUGAGAUAUUAAAGACCUGUGUAUUUGAAGCCUCUG